rnacentral:rRNA from 1 species
AUUGAACGCUGGCGGCAGGCCUAACACAUGCAAGUCGAACGAGUGGCGGACGGGUGAGUAAUGUCUGGGAAACUGCCUGAUGGAGGGGGAUGACUACUGGAAACGGUAGCUAAUACCGCAUACCAUCGGAUGUGCCCACGUGGGAUUAGCUAGUAGGUGGGGUAAAGGCUCACCUAGGCGACGAUCCCUAGCUGGUCUGAGAGGAUGACCAGCCACACUGGGACUGAGACACGGUCCAGACUCCUACGGGAGGCAGCAGUGGGGAAUAUUGCACAAUGGGCGCAAGUCUGAUGCAGCCAUGCCGCGUGUAUGAAGAAGGCCUUCGGGUUGUAAAGUACUUUUGGCGGGGAGGCGGUACCCAAAGAAGAAGCACCGGCUAACUACGUGCCAGCAGCCGCGGUAAUAC